GUCCCUAUUAACAAGAAAAAUAAAUCUUUUAAGGGGGUCUAAAUUCUAUAUAGUGUUGUCUUUUUUCCUGCAUUAAUGAUUUGUUAAGUGUGAUUGUGUACUUUCAUUGAAGGGUUACUGUCUCAUUGAGGCUCACACCAUACUUUUUUUCAUCAAUUCUUUAAAGUCAGACAUCAUGGACAUAGUUAUUCCUCUCUAAAACACAACAGGUUAUUUCUUUUGUUUAUUUUAAUUAUGUUUAUGAUUUAAUAUGAAAUAUAUUGAUACUACAAACAUGACAAAGAAAAG
rnacentral:lncRNA from 1 species